rnacentral:rRNA from 2 species
GUGCGAGACCGAUAGCGAACAAGUACCGUGAGGGAAAGAUGAAAAGAACUUUGAAAAGAGAGUUAAAGAGUACCUGAAACUGCUGAAAGGGAACCGAAUCGUUUCCAGUGUCUAUAAUCCAUGGCAUAUUUCAUUGGCGAGUGGGUGCGUGCAGCGUUUUGGAAGUGGUUUCCGCUCCUGUCGUUGUUGUGCAUUUGCUUGCUGGUGCCCUGUGCUGUGGUGGGACGUCAGAGUCAGUUUGUAUGUUGCGGGAAAUGGUUAUCAGGGAGGUAGGUCGCUUCGGUGGCUGUUAUAUCCUGGUAACUAGUCGUCGUGGCUGAGACUGAGGUGCCUAC